CCUACGGGGGGCUGCAGUGGGGAAUAUUGGACAAUGGGGGGAACCCUGAUCCAGCCAUGCCGCGUGUGUGAAGAAGGCCCUCGGGUUGUAAAGCACUUUCAGUGAGGAAGAACGCCUGGUGGUUAAUACCCAUCAGGAAAGACAUCACUCACAGAAGAAGCACCGGCUAACUCCGUGCCAGCAGCCGCGGUAAUACGGAGGGUGCGAGCGUUAAUCGGAAUUACUGGGCGUAAAGCGCGCGUAGGUGGCUUGAUAAGCCGGUUGUGAAAGCCCCGGGCUCAACCUGGGAACGGCAUCCGGAACUGUCAAGCUAGAGUGCAGGAGAGGAAGGUAGAAUUCCCGGUGUAGCGGUGAAAUGCGUAGAGAUCGGGAGGAAUACCAGUGGCGAAGGCGGCCUUCUGGACUGACACUGACACUGAGGUGCGAAAGCGUGGGUAGCAAACAGGAUUAGAUACCCUAGUAGGC
rnacentral:rRNA from 1 species